UACGUAGGGUGCAAGCGUUGUCCGGAAUUAUUGGGCGUAAAGAGCUUGUAGGCGGUUUGUCGCGUCUGCUGUGAAAUUUCGGGGCUCAACCCCGAACUUGCAGUGGGUACGGGCAGACUAGAGUGUGGUAGGGGAGACUGGAAUUCCUGGUGUAGCGGUGAAAUGCGUAGAUAUCAAGCGGAACACCAGUGGCGAAGGCGAGUCCCUGGACAACUCCUGACACUGAGGCACGAAAGCUAGGGGAGCAAACAGG
rnacentral:rRNA from 1 species